GACGAACGCUGGCGGCGUGCUUAACACAUGCAAGUCGAACGGAAAGGCCCUUCGGGGUACUCGAGUGGCGAACGGGUGAGUAACACGUGGGUGAUCUGCCCUGCACUUUGGGAUAAGCCUGGGAAACUGGGUCUAAUACCGAAUAGGACCACGCGCUUCAUGGUGUGUGGUGGAAAGCUUUUGCGGUGUGGGAUGGGCCCGCGGCCUAUCAGCUUGUUGGUGGGGUAAUGGCCUACCAAGGCGACGACGGGUAGCCGGCCUGAGAGGGUGACCGGCCACACUGGGACUGAGAUACGGCCCAGACUCCGACGGGAGGCAGCAGUGGGGAAUAUUGCACAAUGGGCGCAAGCCUGAUGCAGCGACGCCGCGUGAGGGAUGACGGCCUUCGGGUUGUAAACCUAUUUCAAUAGGGACGAAGCGCAAGUGACGGUACCUAUAGAAGAAGCACCGGCCAACUACGUG
rnacentral:rRNA from 1 species